AAGGAAUAUUGGUCAAUGGAGGAAACUCUGAACCAGCCAUCCCGCGUGAAGGAUGAAGGGGCUCUGCCUUGUAAACUUCUUUUGUCUGGGGCGAAAAAGCUCGAUUUAUCGAGAACUGACGGUACCAGAAGAAUAAGCACCGGCUAACUCCGUGCCAGCAGCCGCGGUAAUACGGAGGGUGCAAGCGUUAUCCGGAAUCACUGGGUUUAAAGGGUGCGUAGGCGGCUUAGUAAGUCAGUGGUGAAAGGCUGUGGCUUAACCAUGGAAUUGCCAUUGAUACUGCAGAGCUUGAAUGAGGUUGAGGUUGGCGGAAUGUGACAUGUAGCGGUGAAAUGCUUAGAUAUGUCAUGGAACACCGAUUGCGAAGGCAGCUGACUGGACCUAUAUUGACGCUGAGGCACGAAAGCGUGGGGAGCGAAC
rnacentral:rRNA from 1 species